UUAGCAGUGUGUGGGGGCUCUUACCCUAUCUGUGCGUCCCAUAAUUUCUCACUCUCUUUUUUGUAUCUUACGUCAUUAUAGUUUAUUUUAGUUUUUUUCAGCAAUAAAUUAUUCCGCAUUGUUGGCGUGAAAGUAGUUGCAUGUUCCAAAAUUCCAAAGGGUCGGUAGCCCAACAAACACAUUCAGUGUUUGACUAAUCAGCCCAACCAAUCAGAAACAAGAGAAAUUGGAAUGGCACCACCAUGUCUGCAUCCCCUCUCAUCACUCCAACAUGCUUCUGUUAUCAUUGGACAACCCAUGUGAACUUCUCGUGCUACUGGCUGCAACUUGAACCAAUCAUAUUUCACCCCAAGGAGAAACAAUCCAAGGUAAAUUCUUUUGGGUGGAAAAAGCAGAAAAAAAAACUUGUAUUUGCGUUUUUUUGUAAUUGUCUCUGCAUAAUCGUGGGUAAAUCUGUGAUGAUAUCUAAACUAACGACAGACUAAUUUUUGAAAGUAGUGCUAUUUUUGUAAAAGUUUUGAUAAUAUUGGCUCGCUAAUUACCACUUAGUUAUAAGUUUAACUGGUCUGUUUACAAGGAUUUCUGAUUUGAACUGGGGGCAGCUUGUUUGGUAAUAAGGGAUAAAAUUAUGAAUUAUAUAAUAAAAAUAAAGGCAGUGUGCAGCAUGACAGUGCGGCAAUCAUUCAGUUUGAAAUAUAGAAGACAACAAAACCAUGUGAUUUGUGAAUAUAAAAUAUUUUAAAGUUAAAUUUGGCUCUCCAGGUCCGGAAAAGUUCUCAAUCUUGCAUUAAUAUACUAUUAUUUCUUUCCUUGGCAGGCUCUUUUGAUUAAACAAUGGCUAAAGAAGGGCAAAUCGCUGCAAUUAUGGAAUUCUCUCAACUUCUUUAUAACUUUCUUUCAUCUGCGAAAACAGACAUGAGAGAAAUUGAUUACCCAUUAUCCAUUCCAUAUUACCUCUAAAAGAAAAGUUGACGAUGAAUGGCCCAACCUUGAAAUCUCAUGUUGGAAAAGAAGCUUGACACUUUUAAGUUAAAGGAUAGGAGUAGUGAUAGGUGAGGAUAUGGUUUGUUCCCACUUUUUCUCACAAAUUUUUAUCUAACGCAGCAUUUUUUGACAAAAAAAUAGUUACUGACAAUCGACAUAUUAGUUAUAGGUGAGUUAACAUUCUACCUGGCCAUGAUCCCUUGUCUAAUUAUCCUAAUAGGGUUAGCUUUUAUAGUCCACAAAAUGUAUUUGAUGGAAGGGGACAAAAUAAUGCAAAAAUUUCAACACCGUUCUUGGAUGUAGUUUGGUUUCUUUAGUCCUAGGAACUUGGAAGCAUAUUAUUGGUCUUCAUUAGACGGCUGUAAUUUGAAAACUAGAGUCACAACGGAUUCCCCAAAAUAAGGUUUUUUUAUGCAAAACAUGAGGUGCACCUUCAUAUAAUCAAUUAAUCAAAUCAUUGGUGGUCGUGGUGACCCUUUACCUCUGAGACUCUGAUUGGCAGCAAUAUUCCCCGUGGUUGGUGAUGUGGGGAGUUUUAAGUGAUCACUAAUCGAAACUUAGUUGGCAAAAGCCAAUUUGGGUGGGGCGUGACACACCCUCCCAUUCACAAACGGCAGCUACAAAGCAAUGUGACAUAUGCAAAUUUGACCGAUCCAUAAUAGAUUCACUUUCUCUGUGACUUCAUCAACUUAAUUUUUGUAUAUGGUUUUGUAGAAGGAAAAAGAAGAAGAAGAAGAAGAAGGAAGCUUCUCGGAAACAUAGGGUUCUCUUCAUGUGGG
rnacentral:lncRNA from 1 species